rnacentral:lncRNA from 1 species
CCCCAAUCUCUCUGAAGCAAUUAUUAUCCUGCACCAAAUUUGGCAGUUUAUUUCAAAAAAUCGUGUGAUAUAGUGAUCAGUUAUUUUAAGAAGAAUCAUUUAUAUCUUCUUCAUAUAAAAGUUUCUGCGACGAGGCUCAUCCCGUUCUUCUGAAGAGAAAGACUCCAGGUUUUCUGCAGCAACAACAGGUGAUCUCUCAAUUUGUAAUUUCAAUUAAAAUUUUGAUCCGAUAACAGAGAAAUCUAGGGUUUCUUCAACAACAACACAACAAUAGCG